UAAUAAUUUCAUUUAAUUCUAGUUUUGUUUUGCGUAAAUUGUUUAAUAUUUCUUGAUCUUGGUGUGAUACAUAGGCUUUUUCUAAGGAUUUGAUGUUUUUUUCCAGUUCUUGAAUAUUUUUGUUUUCUUCUUUCUUCUUAUGUGAUGAGAAAGAGAUUAUUUUACCUCUCAUCACAGCUUUCCCUGCUUCCCAGAGGACAGAUGCUGAUGUUCCAGGAAUGUCAUUAAAGUCUAAAUAUGAAGUCCAUUCUUUUUUAAAGUAUUUGAUAAACUCUUCAUCUUUGAGCAGCGAUGUAUUAAAUCUCCAGUUUUUACUUGGUGUGGUAUUAUUCUUCUGCAUUAGUGUUAAAGAUACAGGAGCAUGAUCGCUGACAGCUAUAGGAUGAAUCUCAGUGUCUGAAAUGUCACUCAGCAGUGAGCUGCUGACCAAAAAAUAAUCCAGACGAGAGUAGGAGUGAUGAACAUGUGAGAAGAAAGAAUAUUCCUUACUGUUGGGGUGAAGGGAGCGCCAUGCAUCGCAAAGACCAAAGUCGCUCAUAUACUGUUUGAUUAUAUUUGUGGACUGCCAAUUACGCUGAGUUCCUGUUGUAUUGAGCCUAUCCAUUUCUUCAUUUAGUCCCAGGUUGAGGUCUCCCCCAAGAACAAUUGUGCAAUCUAGGUGUUCGGAGAGUGCACUAAAAAAACCGUGGAAGAAUGAGGGGUCAUCAACAUUCGGACCAUAUAUACUUACAAUACCUAGCUUUUGGUUAAGUAUAGAUAGUUUGACUAUUAGGAAUCUGCCCUCUGGAUCUAUAACUGUAUCGAGUACUGUGAAAUUAAUAUUUUUAUGUAUUAGAAUUGCUACUCCUCUUUGUCUAGAAUUAUAACAGGCUGAGAACACAUUAGGAAACUCAGGUGUUUUAAGUUUAUUCAGACCUGUGACAGGCAUGUGGGUUUCUUGUAAUAAAACAACGUCUGCCUGUAGUUUUUUAAGUUGGUUAAGUAUUUUUAACCUUUUUUCCCUAGAGCCAGCUCCAUGCACAUUCCAUGAGACAAACCUUAGCGUGCCCAUAGUUGUGUGUUUGUGGCUAAUGACAUAUGCUGUGUGUCUUGCUUAGACGGGUGAGGAAAAUGGAAACACAUCUUUUUUUUUUUUUUUUUUUUUUUUUUUUAAAUAGAGAGAAGAAAAUGCGCAGCGUGAAGCUCCAUAGGUCUGACUAUGUGUGUGCAUAAUAACUAAAAUGAGCAAAUGUGUGCGUGUGUGUCCUAUAUCUGUGUGCACUGUGUGGCUGUUGUAAAUGUGUUGCCUUUAAACGCAUGUGUGUGCGUGAUCGUGCAGAGUGAGCAUGUAGAAAUAGACAGUGUCCUUUGUGGAUGGAUAGGGAAACAGGUGAUCGACAUAGUGAAAGAAAAGAGAAGCAAGGAAACCAAAGAGCAAGCGUGAAAUCAGGGAACAGUUAUUUACAAAUGACUUUCCCGCAAUGAAGACAUCCCACCACCACCAGCAGCGCCACCAUCGCCACAGUGAACACAGUCCGUGAGAUGAGUGCUCUCCACCAUCGUCCAAAUAAAGACUUGUCAUAAUGCACAACGACUUCACACUUUUUUGACUACAGCACUGGACCUCCCUAACUCUCCAAAAGUUGAUUCUGUUCAUCUGGACGUAGCGUUUUGUGGGAGAAACGUUUCAUCACUCAUCGAAGUGACUUCUUCAGUCUGAAGAAGUCACUUGCCUUGUGUCUGCUCCCUCCUGGAAUCAGAAAGACAGACAAAAACAAAACCCAUCUCCCUGCCUGUACUUGAUCAUUUUACUAUUACUCAUUCUAAUAUCUAGCUCAGGACAUUCUGUUUGGACUGAAUGACAAAAAGUUUUGUCAUAACUUACAGCAACAAAGGGGUAAGGUAACAAAAUUAUUUUUUCAAGCAUAAAUUUUGGGUCACCAGUUUGGUUCAACUGCAUAUUUUAAUUUGUUGCUAUUUCUUAAAAAGAAAAUAUAUACAAUUUAAAUAAUCUACAUUUACUUCAUAUCUUUGUUGUCACUUUGUAGAUUAAUCUCACAAAAUACGUUUGACUAAUAAAAUAUUUUACAGUGUUGUGCUUAACUCCCUAAAUUACCUGCCGAGGCUUCACUCAUUCAUUGUUAUGACCCCACUUUGACCUUUGAAAAAAAGGUUUCUAAUUUUGCAUAUGACGGACAUGAGGUGGUUGUGGCAUUAGUAGAAAACUUUAACAGACCUUUAUAGCCUGUUAAACAGAAGUUUACUUUUAGAAGUUAAAUAGAAGUAUUUAAGGAAGCUAAGCCCAGAGGAG
ensembl:lncRNA